GACGAACGCUGGCGGCGUGCUUAACACAUGCAAGUCGAACGGAAAGGCCCUGCUUGCAGGGUACUCGAGUGGCGAACGGGUGAGUAACACGUGGGUGAUCUGCCCUGCACUUCGGGAUAAGCCUGGGAAACUGGGUCUAAUACCGGAUAGGAGCCAUUUUUAGUGUGAUGGUUGGAAAGUUUUUUCGGUGUAGGAUGAGCUCGCGGCCUAUCAGCUUGUUGGUGGGGUAAUGGCCUACCAAGGCGGCGACGGGUAGCCGGCCUGAGAGGGUGGACGGCCACAUUGGGACUGGGAUACGGCCCAGACUCCUACGGGAGGAAGCAGUGGGGAAGAUUGGACAAUGGGCGCAAGCCUGAUGCAGCGACGCCGCGGGGGGGAUGACGGCCUUCGGGUUGGAAACUCCUUUCGCUAGGGACGAAGCUUUUUGUGACGGUACCUAGAUAAGAAGCACCGGCUAACUACGUG
rnacentral:rRNA from 1 species